UCCCAGCUACUUGGGAGGCUGAGGCAGGAGAAUCACUCUGACCUGGAAGUCAGAGGUUGCAGUGAGCUGAGAUUGCGCCACUACGCUCCAGCCUGGGUGACAAAAGUGAAACUCUGUCUCAAAAAAAAAAAAAAAACGAAACAAAGAGAAAAAAAAAAACAAAAACCCGCCAGAAAUCAGAGUAAGCUCAAUGGUUGUUAUCACAAAAUGGGAUCAUCUCUUUAUCAUUGAUAACAGGGAUGGGCCAUCAUGCCUCCCAGGGUGGUAUUCCAUUUUCUCCAGUAAAUAAUACAAGGUUUCCCCCAUAAUUACCUGAUAGACUAGAAUAGCUCCUUGGGGUCCAUUUUAGUCUAUUGGGUAAAUGAUAUGUUUUCUAAUGGCAUUCUUACCCAACAAUGAAGCUCAUGAACUAAUGAUAUAUAUCGCGAGGCCUCUGUAGGGGACUGUGUGGAGGCAGUAGUUACUUUUAGAAAGUUAUACACUAGGCCCCGAGCAACAAGAUUCCUGGGAGACAUUUGUAUUUAGUAUUACCAGAGAAGAUAAACACUUUGCAACAGCAUUCUUAGGGCAUUUUCACAGGAUAUAUAAAGAGGCCCUGCGUUGGGCAGGGCACCAUUUCCAGCCAGUGACAUUCCACUGGAAAUGCAGCUGCUCUUUGUUGCUGUGAAAGACAUGUUCAAAUUAGUCUGGGACAUUCCCAUGACUAGUCCCACAUGGCUGCCUGGAUCAUCGGCUGUGGAGUUGUUGAUAGAGGAGUGAGUUAGAUGACAAAGGCAACCAUGAGAUCAUGGAAAAAUGCCCCGAGCAGCAGUCAUAAGACUUGGGUUGGAACCCAGCUCUGACACUUAAG
rnacentral:lncRNA from 1 species